AACUUGCCAUUCCUGUCUUUCCCAUGGCAUUGCUGCUGUUCAGAAGCAGUAUUUUUUAUCACUCCUUGUCUUGACAAUAGCUCUACUGAUUUUUCCAUAGCAGUCUGAGGAGAGGGCCGGAUGGCUAAGCUCACAAUGGCAGCUCAGUAAGCUGGGCUCCACUUCCCUCUUGAAGACUCUCACAAAUGUUGUGUUCUUUCCCAUCAGACAGUGUGAGAGAGACGGUCAAGAGAAACUGGACAUAACCACAGCAACCCUUAAACCUAUCAAUCCUCUGUCAGAACAGUUUCUGGAGAACCAGGUAGUUAGCCAUAAGCAAGAGUGAAACUGCUGUGAAAGGCUUUUGAACUAUCUUGAACCACCCAAAAAACAAAGGUUAUCCUUUGUCCCCCUGUUAAUAUGGAGAAAUAUGGUUAGUAAUAUUUAUUAAUUUAUCUUCUUCAGUGCUAUUUUAACUGCAAUGUUCUCAACAAAAGAGAAAAACUAUUUUUAAAAGUAGCAGAGCAAGAGCUAAUUCAGAAACUUGGGCUACUGUUGCAGGAUGCAAAAUGGGAUGAAAUCAGGACUAGAUGACCUCUAGCAGAUCAGCAAAUUAAAGCCCUAGAAGCAGUGCAACUAUAUCUUCUACUAGCUAAUAAAGAGUGGCAUACCUGGAACCAGGAUGCCCAGUAUUUGCAAUAUCUGUCAUUACGCGUGAAGAAAUUGUAGUGUCAGAUAGCCCAGUUGUUAUUUCCCAGACACAGGUAAAGCAAAAUAAAUUCAGACUCCCAUACAUUCAUCUUGAGCUUCCUAAUUAGCUCUUCCAGCAUAAGAACAUAAAGUUCAUCACCUCUCUUCUAGAGCCCAGUAAAAGCGAGCAAGAAAAAUACAUUUAUGCUCUUUCUUGUUGGAGAGGUUUGAAGAAAGAUAAAAACCUAUAAGGAUAUAGGCUGAGAAGAUGGCAGGAACAAAUGCACUAUAUUAUUUCUGUAAAACCUAAAUCCCAAGAGCAUAACCAGGGCAGUAAUUUUGAUGAGUCCUAGCUAAUCUCUGCACUAACUUCUCCCUUGAGAGUUUCACCAUAUAUCUUCCUGAACACCUUUUAUGAUUGCACUUCAAUAACCAUUUUGACAGACUGCUCCACUGUCAAAGCAUUCUUUUGGAAAAUUUCUCAUUAAAUCUAAUCUCCAUGUCCCCUUUUUUAAUGUGAGACUAUUAGCUGCUUAUAAAACAUCCUUGUGCAACCUUGAAUAAAUCUGCCUUGUCUUUUAUCAUUUUUUCAUAGAGAAUUAUCAGAUUUCCCCUCUAGUUGCUUUAUAAAACUAAGUAAUUUACAAUCCCUCACCCCUUCCUCAUUUUUCCAGUGUCCUACUGAACAGUGUCCACCUUUACAAAAAGCAAUAAAGGAUUUAUUUUACAGAAGUAUCUGUGUCAUGCAACAUUUCUCCCAUCUUUCAAGGGCUUAACUUAUAACUAGAUGUAACUGGUUCUUGUAAAAACGUUCUUCAGUUUUCAGUGUUACAAAAAUCUUAUUCAGCUCCAACAAAGAAAUCUGCUCUACAAUGUAAUUAUUUUUCUUACCUCAUUUGUAGCACCUAUGCUAAGCAAGCACUAAAAGUAAAAUAGAAUUCCAGAGGGGUGGUAACAGACAUAAUUCAUGCCAUUUCUAACUAGAGUGUGAAAACGUGUGUUUUCACAAUAGAAUAGUCAUGCUGUUGCUGAAUCCCGAAGGAUGUACUGCAGUUUUUAACCUCUCACAGCUGAAUAAAGAAGCCAAGGAGCAGGCAGAGGAAGCAAGGAAUAGGAGAGAAUACAGCUGGAUGUGAAGCUACAGACGUGUCUGGCAGCCACUUCACCAGUGGCUGAAGGCAACCCACAGCCCUGCCUCCGCACUGAGUGGCUGCUUUUCUGUCUGUAAAAGCUCCCCACUGUUCUCUCCAGUAAAAUUCCACAAUGGGCUGGCUAGGGCUCACUCUGAAAAUAUAUACAACCCCAAAACCUGAAAGCUCACCUUUGCUGUGAAGGCAAAAUUCACUGCUGACUACAGUAGUGUAUUGAUGGCAUCUCUGCCAAUGCCAGAUUGAAACGCUCAACCCUGUGAACUGCUGAGUUUCUCCUGUGGAUAUCAGGAACUUUGUUUCCAGAAAGCCUGAAUGCACAGAGGUCAGGAAAUUGGAUAACUCCCAUAGUUACCAAAAAGGAGUUAAUUAGGCCAUCAGUGACAACAUAUAGAAAGCAUGAAAAGUAUGUAAGGAGGAUGAUACGUGGGAUGGAAAAGUACUGUAGACACAUUGAACUUCUCUUGCCAGAGCAGCUGCAGAUUGACAAAAGACAGAGAAAACCAUGGGCCCAGCCACGUGGUAGACAGAGGUUUGCUAGAACAGCAGACAGUGCUGAGCAAGGGGGCACACAGAGAUGCUCCCUGCUCCAUUGCUAGCCAGGCCUCCUCCCUCCGAACAACUGAGUGUCCCAGGACACAUCACUGCUCUUCCUGGCCUUAAAAUCCUGGGUCUGUAUCUCGGCCCACACUCAGGCAGCAUCUCUUCUUUGUGGGAGACAGCCCGCAGCUUGGUGGCCCUGGGGCACUCCCUGCAGCAGGCUGUGCUGGGGCAGGAGGUGACAGCAGAACCCCUGCACUUUGCUGACCCUGGUUAAAGUCUAUGCUGUCUUUGCUGUCUGCUGUAAAUGAUUAACUCUUUCCCUAAUUCUUGAGUUAAGAACACUGGACAGAUAAGAAACUCCUCUAUUACUAAGCUUAAAUCUCUCAACUGCAGGCAACCACGUAAUGUAAUCCUUUUAGCAAUCUCACCAAACUCCAUUUUAAAAGUUAAAUUUCCCUGACAUAAGAGAUACUGCUGCUCAUGCACCGAAAUGUUAAGAAAAUUGAACUGCAGCAGCAAUAAAUACAACCAGCGUUCACCAAAAGAAGGCAAGACUUCUCUCAGCAAAGUCUGUCAUCUGUUUUCCUCUACUGAACUCAAAAAAGGCAGUCGCUGGAAAGGAUAUUUUAUAUGCCUGUUACCUUCACAUACACAUAUCGGAUUAGUACCUGAAUUGAAGAAACACUAACGAUAAUGAACUAGAUCCCAGACCACUGUCACUGUGGCUAUCAUCUCAUGACACAACAUACCCUGUGGCACUGUCCUGAGCCUAGUUACAACUGUAUUGAAGUGCUGAACAUCCCUGUAACCUCACACAUCAUGAAGAGCAACCAACUCCUGACCAUCCUUUCUAAUGCUAAGACAUGACAGUGUAGGUGUAAGACACCUUUAUGUUUCCUAGGCAGGGAUUCCACAUUUCACUGCCUACAUCCAGAACUGCUCCUGCAGCUUUCAUGAACCCACAGCUGCUGAAAUAUAAAACACUCAAAGGCCAGCACAUUUCCUAUUUUACAAAAUAAUUAAGCCUUACUGCUGUAGUAAUUAAAAGGAACUGUAUUUUCCAAUCCCUAUUCAUAACAGUGCCACAUAUUGUUAACCAAUAAAGAUUGGUUCUAGAUGAGAAAUCUAAUUAUCUCCCACUAGGAAAAUGCUUAUAAAACUUCUCAUUCUUCAUUGAGUUUCAGAAGAUCUCCUGCGAAAAACUAAAACAAGUAAGACUAACCAAUUCAAGCACACUGGAUGACACUUCAAUAACACGUCUUCUAAAAUCUGAGAUGAGGUCAGCAUAAACAUCACAGAAACGCAACUCCAUUUCAGCCAGAGAUUCUUUGAUGGAAAAAAAAGUUACAAUUCCCCACGCAUAUUCAUGCAGAUUUGAUGAAAUGCACUGUGUGGUACAGUCUAUGUAUUGUCUCUUAUUUAUCUAUUCUCUUGGCUCUUCCAAGGCCAGAUGGUCUGUCCCACCAAUAUUCUGUCUCCUUAGCCAUCUUAGUAUCCCCAAUUGGCUGUAUUCUCCAAGACAUGGCAAGUUAUCUCUACACCAACAUUUAAGAAGAUUACUGAGCACAAGAAGACUUUCAGCUUCUGCAGGUUCACAGCUCACCUUUCCUCCAAACUGCCCCUCUUCACUGCAAAUAUAUAGCCUUCUCUGAAUAGAAGUGCUCAGUUGCUUCUCCUUCAAUGGUGAAUCAGCCGCAUAGGACCUUCCCAAAUGAAUGCAGAGCUUUUCAGUUCAUUUUGCAUUGCUUAGCAGCCUGGGCAUGAUCUUCUGUCCAGUUUUUAUUUAUUUACACUUCUUCCAGUUUUCACUGUUGGAUACUGAUUCUGCUAACCUAACUGUUUUCAUGGGACAAGAAAAUACUUCUGUGUUCUCUUCUCUAAGAAGAAUCAUGGAAACAUAGAAUGGCUUGGAUUAGAAGGGAUUUUAAAGAUCAUCUAAUUCUAUCCCCUGCCGUGGGUAGGGCUGGCCAUCAGAGCUGCAAGUACAUCUUGCUGGUUCAUGUCAAGCUUUUCAUCCACCAGAAUCUUCAAGUCAUUCUCUGCAGGGCUGCUCUCAAUGACUUCUUCUCCCCUGUUUGGGAUCACCCAGAUCGCGACACCUUGCACUUGGCAUUAUUCAUCUCAUUAGAUUCAUGUGGGCCCUUUUCUCGACCUUGUCUGGGUCCCUUUGGAUGGCAUCUCCCCCAUUUUAUCAACUGUAUCGCUCAGUUUAGUUUCAUCAGUAAACUUGCUGAGAGCACACUCAAUCCCGCUGCCAUUGACAAAGAUGAAAAUGAAGACCCAAGACUGAAACUGGGACUGAAGACUGGGAGAAACCACUCAUGACUGGUCUCCACACAGACAAUGAACUGUUGACCACAGCCCUCUGGCUGCAACAACCAACCAAUUAUUUUUCCACAACAGUCUUCCUUUCAAAUUCAUAUGUCUCCAAGUUAGAGAUAGAGAUGAAGGCAUGAGUUCAUGCAAAAGGCCUUGUGCAAGUCCAGGUAGAUGACAUUAGCUGCCCUUGCUUUGUCCACCAAUGUCAUCACUCCAUCAUAGAAGGCCACCAGAGAAAAAUUACACAUUGUUGAGUACAUACAUUAGAUGAAAUAACGAGAAUCAAUUUAAUCGAUCUUGGGUAUUUAAAAUACUGCCUUUCAUUUUAGUUAGACAAAGAGCUUAUUUACAACCUGGUCAUUUAUCUGUUCCAUCACCAACAAACAAGAGUUAUUUUAUAUUGUUCUUGAUUUCCUAGUGACAAGCAGACACCUUUCAAUUUCUUCUCAUUCAAGGAAAAUGAUUCCACCACAGUUAACAUCAAAAGUAAUUUAAAUUAAAAACAAAGAAAUACAAACCACAUAUUUCACUGUUUCCAAGAUCACAAAUGCACUUUAACACCUUACUAACAUGUUCUGUAAUGUUCUUUUAUCUUGUUAUUCUUCCACAGCAGUGUCAGGUGCGUUCUUUGAGUCCUUCUCUUAUGGUACAAAGGAAUGAACUAGAACAUUGCUUUUCUAACAUUUUCUAACCUUACGUGUUUGCAAGAAAUACAGAAUGUUCCAUUCUCCACAAGACUCCAACAAAAAAAAACUGGAUUCUGCUCAGACCUGCCAGGUUUCUUCUUCACAGAUCUACUUUUGUACUGUCUGCACCCGUUGUAAAUGGAUAAGAGACAGAACAAAGAUCAGCUACCUUGAACUAUAAGGACUACAGCUUUGCAAGGAGCCUAAGAAGCAAGUAUCAGCCUUAGGAGGUUCCAAUUGCUCUAACCCUGGACCAAACAACAACUCUCUCUCAGAAGGGUGGAGUUGAAAGAAGUUUCUUACCAUUUCCCAUCUUCCUGAUAUAAACCAGAUCCAAAGAUCCAAACAUCAAAAAAUAUCCAAAUAGCAAUUUUUUUUGGAGUCUAAGACACGAAGAGCUAUUUAAGUGAAUGUGGUCUCAUCAGUAUAAUUUCACUAUAAAUUCAGUAGCUUCAUGGCAGAAUAUGCUUUUGACUAUUGCUUAUUUAUUACUGCUUAUCUUUCACCUCUCAUAUUUGACUUUCUCUCUAGUACUAGACGGACAUUCAAAUGAAAUGUUACGUUACAGAUAUGGUAAUAUUUAUAGAGCAAAGGCUAUCUGAACAGUAGAUGAAUAGUAUCAUUCUCUGAUUUUUCACCAAGAACAAAAAGAUCUACACCUGCAAUUUAGAGGCUAAAAAACCCACACACUUUUGCCUACUUUGUAAGUGCUAAAUAUCUACAUAAUCUUCCUGUUUUCCUUCCCAGAAUGUCAGUUGCUGUUUUGUUUACUUGCUAUCUAUGCCUUUGGCAUUUCUGUGUUUCCAGAACAGUUUUGAUUCCUUCUCUCUGAUUUUAAUGCUGGCAUUUCAAUAGCUGGCCUUACUAGAAUUGCUUGUAUUCAAGGAACUGACAACAAGUAUUGCUGAUGGAAAGCCACCAAGGCAUCAAGUAUUGCAACAGUAGUGUUGCUGCAUACUUGACAAACUUUAUGUCUGACAUAGAGCAGAGCAGUGCAAACACUGGGUUACCUGCUUUGUGUUGUCUCGAUGCUGGCUAGUCCUGUAAGACAGAAAGUAUGCUGCCAGAAGUAUCUCCCACAUCCCAACCUCCUAGCUAAGCCUGAACUAGUUAAAGUUAAAGGUAAAGACUCUGGAUGUAUACCAUACAUUUGGAGGCAAUAUACUGUAUACAGUAUGUAUCCAUACCCAUUUAUACUUAUCUAGAUUCCCUUUUCACUCAGUGCAGAAGCACAGACAAAUAUAGGAGCCCCAUUCUGCCUGUUCAGAAGCACUCACUGAAAAUAAGUCAGAAAUCAUGAAUCACAACUUUAUACGUAAGUCAUGAAUCACAACUUUAAAGAGUCUCAUUAUCUUCUCUAACAAGGUGACUAAGGAAGAUGUCUGAAGUUUGUACUACAUGCCUUAAUGCUGGCUGUGGCCGUUAUUCCCAUCUCAUCAGCACUGCUGAGGCAGCACCUCUGAUGCUAGACAACUGUGAUGUCUCCAAGUAAUGGGAAGAGGAAUCCCAGCUUCUCCUCUUAGUGAAAACAUUUUCUUGAGGAAAGAGCUCAGUCUCUGAUCCAACUGAUUGCUCAUCUAGAUUCCUCAAAUCACCUUUUCAUUGCACAUGAACUUCAGAGAACAUCUGGUCUGAGUGAGCUGAGCAUUACAGUUUGGCUAUCAGUAUAUGAUACUAAAGCAUAUAUUAGCUUUCUAGGUAAUUUCAGUAUUUUUCGAAGAAAUGGGAUUCCUUCCCAAGUUAUAUGCACUGUCAGAUCAACCAUUAUUAGCACUUGUAAGUCUCUGUCCUGUACAGUUUGUCGUCACACUGUUUCUAGUCUUGGUCUUUGAAAUGGAGACCUCAUGAAGUUGAAAUUUUUUAUGUAUUGCUAAUUUUUCUCAAGCAACCUGAAAUAAAAUAUCAGCUGUGUACAUAUUUCAGUUCUGCACUUGUUGCAUAUGGCAGCAUAUUAGCACAGAAAUUUUUAUAGCAUAUACUGAACAUUUCUGGAACUUUCAAAGAAUUCCUUAAAUUUAAUACUAUAUUGUACUUGAAUCAUUUCACCUCCUGCAAUACACUGGCCAAGCUUCUCCUGAGCAAGUCCAUUUUAUAAAACAUUUCCUUCCAACUUGGGGGAAUUUUUGUACUGUAGAAAAUCAUGACCAUUAUUAAAAAUUAUUCACAGAGCUUUCAUAGAAGCAAUAGAGCUUUCACCAGGCACCAAAUUACAGGGAACACACUUUGUAACACACACUGUUACAAUCCACUUAUUCCCUCCAGAAGCAGGCUGGAAGAGAUUGCCAGCACAUUCUGAUGCAGUACAGUUUUGUCUGAGCAGAUCCUGUGCUAGGCUGCCUCCAGCUUUACUGGAUCCCUGCAACUACAGUGAGUACCUCUUGCAGACAGCACUGCUAGUGCAUCAACCCGAUUAUCCAGGAGCACUUGCCAGUAUCCACCUUUGGUUCUGAGCCCUGAAGAUAUUUCUACUUUUGCCUAGUCAGGCAUAGAUAAUAAGAGCUUUGUCAAAGCUGCUAGAGUCUACUCUGUGAAAACACAUGGCUUGUCUCACUUCUCUGAGGUUAUUAUGAUGCUAUUCCACCACUGGGAUCAAGUGCUUUCUUACAAAAUAUCAGGACACUCAAAA